UACGUAGGGCGCAAGCGUUGUCCGGAAUUAUUGGGCGUAAAGAGCUCGUAGGCGGCUUGUCACGUCGGGUGUGAAAGCCCGGGGCUUAACCCCGGGUCUGCAUUCGAUACGGGCUAGCUAGAGUGUGGUAGGGGAGAUCGGAAUUCCUGGUGUAGCGGUGAAAUGCGCAGAUAUCAGGAGGAACACCGGUGGCGAAGGCGGAUCUCUGGGCCAUUACUGACGCUGAGGAGCGAAGGCUAGGGGAGCAAACAGG
rnacentral:rRNA from 1 species